rnacentral:lncRNA from 13 species
AAAAUUUUCCUUUCAAAAUGACUUACAAGGUGUUUGCUCUGCAUUAUUCAGAUUGGCUCUAAUCCCAGAGAAGAAAAAAGAACUGAAGCUCUACAUUCAGACGCCAAGGGAAGCUGUGGGCAAGAUGAAGAAAUGGAGACAACAGAGUCUAGUAACUGGCAUGAGAUGGAAAAGGAAUAGCAUCCAACGUUGCCCUUUGCUAAGUCACCCUGGCAGCUGAUCAGAGCCAAGAUCCACAAUCCACAGUCCAAGCUUUCUGAGCCGACCUAUCCUUCUAGACCAGCCCUAUCCAAUGUGAAAGCCACUAGACACCUGUGGCUAUUGAGCACUUGCAAUGUGGCUUGUCCAAAUGGUGAUGUAUUUCAAGGACCUAGAUUAAAAAAAAAGAAUGUAAGGGGUCUCGUAAAUAUCUUUCAUAUUGAUGACAGGUUGAAAUGGCAAUCUAUU